rnacentral:lncRNA from 10 species
CCGACAAUCAUGGCGGCAGGCGAGAGACACCGAGCAAGAGCAGGGAAAACUGCCUUACAAAACCAUCAGCUCUCGUGAGAACUCACUCACCAUUAUGAGACCAGCGUGGAGGAAACCGCCCCCAUGAUCCAAUCAUCACCUCCCACCUGGUUCCUCCGUCGACACGUGGGGAUUAUGGGGAUUACAAUUCGAGAUGAGAUGUGGGUGGGAAGCCGCUCCAAUGAUCCAAUCAUCACUUCCACCUGGUUCCUCCUUUGGGGAAUAAUGUAGUCCAUAACUAUACUAUUUAUCAAGUAGGGUGGAAGUAUUUCAUUGACACACAUUUACUCAAUUUUCAAAGAAUGAGGAUUUGAGAAUUAGACCAGUUGGUGAAUAAGUUGGGUUGAGCAUAGACAUGGCUUUUAGGAUGAGCAUUACUUGUUGAACAUUCUUAGUUUUCUUUAUUUCAGGUGAUAGAUUUCUCUCUUUGCUUUUAGUAAAAUAAGUCCAUUAGUAAUGCAUAUCACAUUUGUGGAAUUAUAAAGACAUUAUUUUGAGCUGUGAUGGCCAGAAUGUCAUACAGUCUUCUAGGUAAAGGCAGAUCUUGAAAACGCUCUAAAACAGAAUUGGUUGUGGGAAGUGACUUACACAUUCAUUCAGGUGCAAAAUCUAACAUACUUCAGGGCAUACAUUAAUCUUUUGAGAACAGGAUUUGAAACAAAUACCGAGAUUUGAGAAGACAGGCUUCUAAAAUCUCCACAGUCAAACCCUCUGAAAGAAAAACACGAAUUUUCAUUGCAGUACAUAAGGACAAGUUAAUCAGCUGAUAAAUUAAUAUUAACUCAACUCACUAAAUUGAACAAUACUACAUAAUAAAUCUAAUUCACUGACUCAUUGAAUUGAUUAAAGUUGUUUCUUCACAAGACAUCAACCACUUAUAGUGUUAUUAAUAAAAGCACUU